rnacentral:pre_miRNA from 1 species
ACAUGAAUCACCUGGCAUCUUGUUCAAAUAUUUUUUGAUUCAGAGACUGAUAUAAUACAUUUCUAAUAAGCUCCCAGAAGAUGGGGAU